GCUGGGGAUCGACCUUAGCAACAGACCACAAGCGCAGUAUCUGCUCCCUCGAGCAUAAAUGCACAACUGCAUUUGGGGUUGAGUAUUUCCUGCCUUUUGAGACCACAAGGGACUCUCCUGGUGU